GACGAACGCUGGCGGCGUGCCUAAUACAUGCAAGUCGAGCGGGCCUCCGGAGGUGCUUGCACCUCCGGAAGGCCAGCGGCGGACGGGUGAGUAACACAUGGGCAACCUGCCUUUGAGGCCGGGAUAACACCGGGAAACCGGUGCUAAUACCGGAUACGUCCUCUUUCGCGCCUGCGAGAGGGGAGAAAGACGGUCUUUAAGGCCGUCGCUCAAAGAGGGGCCCGCGGCGCAUUAGCUGGUUGGUGGGGUAAGGGCCUACCAAGGCGACGAUGCGUUGCCGACCUGAGAGGGUGAUCGGCCACACUGGGACUGAGACACGGCCCAGACUCCUGCGGGAGGCAGCAGUAGGGAAUCAUCCGCAAUGGGCGAAAGCCUGACGGUGCAACGCCGCGUGAGUGAGGAAGGUUUUCGGAUCGUAAAGCUCCGUUGUGAGGGAAGAACAGCUUCCGGAGGAAAUGCCGGAGGUUUGCCGGUACCUCACCAGAAAGCCCCGGCUAACUACGUGCCAGCCGCCGCCGUAA
rnacentral:rRNA from 1 species